GGUGGCUUAGCUCAGCGGGAGAGCGCCUGCCUUACAAGCAGGAUGUCGUAGGUUCAAUCCCUACAGCCACCACCA
rnacentral:tRNA from 1 species